UUGACCUACCCUAUUGUGGGGAAUAACAGCUCGAAAGAGAUGCUAAUACCGCAUAAGCUCUUCUCUGUUGGGAGAAGAGGAAACCUUGUCGCAAGGCAGGGGCAAAAGGAGGGGACUGCGGCGGAUUAGCUAGUAGGUGUGGUAACGGCACACCUAGGCGACGAUCCGUAGCUGGUCUAAGAGGACGAUCAGCCACACUGGGACUGAGACACGGCCCAG
rnacentral:rRNA from 1 species